GCGGCGCUGCCCGGCGUGGUGGUGGGAGUCGGCUUGAUCCUGGCCUGGAACCAGCCGUUCUGGCCCGCUUCGCCGUAC
rnacentral:tRNA from 1 species